UACGAAGGGGGCUAGCGUUACUCGGAUUGACUGGGCGUAAAGGGCGCGUAGGCGGUUUGUACAGUCAGACGUGAAAUUCCUGGGCUCAACCUGGGGGCUGCGUUUGAUACGUGCAGACUUGAGUUCGGAAGAGGGUCGUGGAAUUCCCAGUGUAGAGGUGAAAUUCGUAGAUAUCGGGAGGAACACCGGUGGCGAAGGCGGCGACCUGGGUAGAUACUGACGCUGAGGUGCGAAAGCGUGGGGAGCGAACAGG
rnacentral:rRNA from 1 species